rnacentral:rRNA from 1 species
GGGUCAGUAGGUUGGUCGUGCCACCGGUACGUACUGGUCUCACUGAUUCCUCCUUCCUGAAGAACCGUAAUGCCAUUAAUUUGGUGUUGCGGGGAAACAGGACUGUUACCUUGAAAAAAUUAGAGUGUUUAAAGCAAGCUAACGCUUGGAUACAUUAGCAUGGAAUAAUGAAAUAGGACGAUCGAUCCUAUUUUGUUGGUUUCUAGGAUUGACGUA